rnacentral:rRNA from 1 species
AUUGAACGCUGGCGGCAUGCCUUACACAUGCAAGUCGAACGGUAACAGGUCUUCGGAUGCUGACGAGUGGCGAACGGGUGAGUAAUACAUCGGAACGUGCCCGAUCGUGGGGGAUAACGAAGCGAAAGCUUUGCUAAUACCGCAUAAGAUCUACGGAUGAAAGCAGGGGACCGCAAGGCCUUGCGCGAACGGAGCGGCCGAUGGCAGAUUAGGUAGUUGGUGGGAUAAAAGCUUACCAAGCCGACGAUCUGUAGCUGGUCUGAGAGGACGACCAGCCACACUGGGACUGAGACACGGCCCAGACUCCUACGGGAGGCAGCAGUGGGGAAUUUUGGACAAUGGGCGAAAGCCUGAUCCAGCCAUGCCGCGUGCAGGAUGAAGGCCUUCGGGUUGUAAUCUGCUUUUGUACGGAACGAAAAGACUCUUUCUAAUAAAGAGGGUCCAUGACGGUACCGUAAGAAUAAGCACCGGCUAACUACGUGCCAGCAGCCGCAGUAAAAC